rnacentral:rRNA from 1 species
GACGAACGCUGGCGGCGUGCUUAACACAUGCAAGUCGAACGAAGUGGCGAACGGGUGAGUAACGCGUAAUCAACCUGCCCUUCAGAGGGGGACAACAGUUGGAAACGACUGCUAAUACCGCAUACUGAAGGAGGGGAUUGCGUCUGAUUAGCUAGGUGGAGGGGUAACGGCCCACCAAGGCGAUGAUCAGUAGCCGGGCUGGGAGGAUGAACGGCCAAAAUGGGACUGGGACACGGGCCAGGCUCCUACGGGAGGGAGCAGUGGGGAAUCUUCCGCAAUGGACGAAAGUCUGGCGGAGCAACGCCGGGGGAGUGAUGACGGGCUUCGGGUUGGAAAGCUAUGUUAAUCGGGACGCGGUACCGGAAGAGAAAGCCACGGCUAACUACGUGCCAGCAGCCGCGGUAAUUC